AGCGCAGGCGGAUUGGUAAGUCGGUGGUGAAAUUCUCGGGCUUAACCCGAGGACUGCCAUCGAUACUGCUAAUCUUGAGUGCAGAAGAGGUUGAUGGGAUUCUAGGUGUAGCGGUGAAAUGCGUAGAUAUCUAGAAGAACACCGAUGGCGAAGGCAGUCAACUGGUCUGCUACUGACGCUCAUGCUCGAAAGCGUGGGGAUCAAACAGGAUUAGAUACCCUGGUAGUCCACGCCCUAAACGAUGAAUACUCGAUGUCGGCUCGCAAGGGUCGGUGUCUAAGCUAACGCAUUAAGUAUUCCACCUGGGGAGUACGAUCGCAAGGUUGAA
rnacentral:rRNA from 1 species